AAUCCAUGCCGGGGGCAAAGUCUGAGCAUAUUCUUGAAUCUAUCCCAAGCUUCAUAUAGAGAUUUUGAGUUAGGUUGUCUAAAACUAGCAAUCAAAUUUCACAUGUGUGC